AAAGAGCCAACGCAAAAAUUUAAGGAUCAAAUUAACAAAUUCGUAUUGGCUUAGAUAUUGAAAAAUACACAAAAAAUUACAUAAUUACUCCCAAAAAAAAUUUUCGCAGUUAACUCCCCCUUUUUGAUGACGUAGAUUCUUCCUUUACCUAACACGGCAGCGAUUCUGCGAUACCAGUGUACGGUGCUCCACUGUUCUACAUCGAAAACUCAAGCCAGAAAUUAUAAAAUUUCUCGCUUGAAUUUUCAAUAAGCUUCCAUUACAUCAAUACUGCAGGAAAAGGUCCACCAAAGUAACAAAUUCUAUGAUUUGAAAGGAUUUUCGUGAAUGUUCUGACUUGUCUUUCGUAAAAACUGAUUUACAUUUCACCGAAGUAUGGAAGCUUCACAUACAAAAUCCGUGGAGGAAGUGUUGGAUUUUUUUAAUGUUGGGGAAGAAACCGGAUACACAGAUGAUCAAGUUAAAGCUGGAAUAGAAAAAUAUGGCCCAAACGAAUUACCAGCAGAGGAAGGUAAACCUCUAUGGGAAUUAAUUCUAGAACAGUUUGAUGAUUUAUUAGUCAAAAUUCUUUUAUUAGCAGCUGUAAUAUCUUUUGUAUUAGCUUGGUUUGAGGAAAGUGAGGAACAAGUAACAGCAUUCGUAGAACCAUUUGUGAUAUUGACUAUUUUAAUUUGUAAUGCUGUAGUAGGAGUUUGGCAGGAAAAAAAUGCAGAAAGUGCCAUUGAAGCAUUAAAAGAAUAUGAACCAGAAAUAGCUAAAGUAGUAAGAAAAAGUCAUAGAGGAAUCCAAAGAAUAAGAGCUAGUAACUUAGUCCCUGGAGAUAUUGUAGAAGUCUCGGUGGGAGAUAAAGUACCUGCAGAUAUCAGAAUUAGCACAAUUCAUUCCACUACUCUUAGAAUAGAUCAGUCCAUUCUCACAGGAGAAAGUGUCAGUGUAAUCAAGCACACAGAUCCCAUACCAGAUCCGAGAGCCGUCAAUCAAGACAAGAAGAAUAUUCUCUUUUCUGGAACAAAUAUUGCAGCAGGAAAAUGCAGAGGAAUUGUAAUUGGUACCGGACUCAAUACAGAAAUUGGAAAAAUCAGAGACGAAAUGAUGGAUACAGAAACAGAGAAGACACCACUGCAACAGAAAUUAGACGAAUUUGGACAACAAUUGUCUAAGGUGAUCACUAUUAUUUGUAUUGCUGUAUGGGCCAUCAACAUCGGACAUUUCAAUGAUCCAGCUCACGGUGGAUCAUGGGUCAAGGGAGCUAUCUAUUAUUUCAAAAUUGCUGUAGCUUUGGCUGUGGCUGCUAUCCCAGAAGGUUUACCCGCUGUCAUUACAACUUGUCUAGCCUUAGGUACACGAAGAAUGGCAAAGAAAAAUGCAAUUGUGAGAAGUUUACCCUCAGUAGAGACUCUUGGUUGUACUUCAGUAAUCUGUUCUGAUAAAACUGGUACCCUGACAACCAAUCAGAUGUCUGUUUGUAGGAUGCUCACAUUUGCCAAAAUCGAAGGAAAUGAUGUUAAAACAGAUCAGUUUGAAAUCACAGGAUCAACUUAUGCCCCUGAAGGUGACAUUUACAGAGAAGGAAAGAAAGUAAAGACUGGUGAUUAUCCUGGAUUAGAAGAAUUAGCUACAGUGUGUGUAAUGUGUAAUGAUUCUAGUGUUGAUUACAAUGAUACAAAGGGAGUGUAUGAAAAGGUUGGUGAAGCAACAGAAACAGCUUUAACUGUGUUAGUAGAGAAGAUGGAUUAUUAUAAUACAGACAAAUCAGGACUGAACAAACGGGAAAAGGGUACAGCUUGUAAUCAUGUCAUCUCUCAAAUGUGGAAAAAGGAAUUCACAUUGGAGUUUUCCCGUGACAGGAAAUCUAUGAGUGUGUAUUGUUCACCUAACAAACCCACCAGGACUGCUCAAGGAUGUAAAAUGUUUGCAAAGGGAGCACCAGAAGGAGUAUUGGACAGAUGUACCCAUGUCAGAGUUGGUAGUACUAAAGUACCCAUGUCUCCUGCAAUCAAAAAUGAUAUCAUGAAACAUGUAGCAGCCUAUGGAACAGGACGUGACACCCUACGAUGCUUGGCAUUAGCCACCAUUGAUAACCCACCACGUAGAGAAGAUAUGGACUUGGAAGAUGCUAGGAAGUUUAUUGAGUAUGAGACAAAUAUGACCUUUGUUGGUAUUGUUGGAAUGUUGGACCCUCCACGUACUGAAGUAAAGGAAGCCAUUGAACGUUGCCGCGAUGCUGGAAUCAGAGUCAUUGUCAUCACUGGAGAUAACAAGGCUACUGCUGAGGCAAUCUGCAGAAGAAUUGGUGUAUUUGGUGAGAAUGAAGCAACCGAAGGUUUAUCAUUUACUGGACGAGAGUUUGAUGACCUGUCUAUAGAAGAACAAAGAAGGGCUGUUAUGAAGGCUCGUCUAUUUGCACGUGUAGAACCAUCUCACAAGAGUAAAAUUAUUGAGUUUCUGCAGGCAGAAGGAGAAGUCUCAGCUAUGACAGGUGAUGGUGUAAACGAUGCCCCUGCUCUGAAGAAAGCUGAAAUUGGAAUUGCUAUGGGUUCUGGUACUGCUGUGGCAAAGUCAGCUUCUGAGAUGGUAUUGGCAGACGACAACUUCUCUUCAAUUGUAGCUGCAGUAGAAGAAGGCAGAGCCAUCUACAACAACAUGAAACAAUUUAUUCGUUACUUGAUCUCAUCAAACAUUGGAGAAGUUGUAUGUAUUUUCCUGACAGCUGCCCUUGGUAUCCCAGAAGCCUUGAUUCCAGUACAGUUGUUAUGGGUAAACUUGGUAACUGAUGGUUUACCAGCCACAGCUUUAGGAUUUAAUCCUCCAGAUCUUGACAUCAUGAAGAAACAACCAAGAAGUGCCAAAGACAGUCUCAUCUCAGGAUGGUUGUUCUUCAGAUAUAUGGCUAUUGGAAUCUAUGUUGGUUGUGCUACAGUAGGAGCAGCCGCUUGGUGGUUUAUGGUUUAUGAUCAUGGACCUCAACUCAACUAUUACCAACUUACCCACCAUAUGCAAUGUCCAGCUGAGCCAGGAAUGUUCAAAGAUGUUAGUUGUCAUAUAUUUAAUGAUCCUCAUCCAAUGACAAUGGCCCUGUCUGUACUGGUCACUAUUGAAAUGCUCAAUGCAUUAAACAGUUUGAGUGAGAACCAGUCAUUGAUAGCCAUGCCUCCAUGGUCCAACCCUUGGUUGUUGGGUGCCAUUGCUCUAUCCAUGUCUCUUCAUUUCCUUAUUUUGUACACAGAAGUAAUGUCUACAAUUUUCCAGAUCACACCAUUGAACUUCGCAGAGUGGUCAGCAGUGUUAAAGAUAUCUAUCCCAGUCAUCAUACUGGACGAAACAUUGAAGUUCGUUGCCAGAAAGUUUACUGAUGGUAAAAAAAAUAUUUUCCUUGGUUCAGUAACAAUGCUCCUCGUCUGGGUUGUGUACAUUGGACUGGCAUACUUAUCUCCUAUAUGAUGAUUGUUCCCAUUAGAUUUUAAACAUUUUCCUACCUUGUCAUGCAUCUCCCCAACAACCAUUGUUCCCCAAAAUAACCUGAUUACCACAGAAAUAGCAUUGACUUAAUCUCAUUAAUAUCAGGAAAUUAUUGAUAACAUUGUUUAUUGUUGUCAUAUUAAUAUUUUGUCUAGAAACAUUUUGAAAAAAAAUAGGAAUUGUUUUAUUUAUUAAUUUUUCAGAUGGUUUUAUUUCUUUAAAAGAAACAUCAAUUUCAUUUAUUAAAACCUUCCUGUUUUAAAUUACCCCAAGUUUUAAUUUUUCAAUAUUAAUAAUGGAUGACAUUUAAGUUAGAAAGUAACUUUCACCAAAUUACUGUGGUAUAAUAAAAUCAAAUUGGUGAUAAUACUCUAUAGCAAUAAUCCAAAAAUCUGAACUAUUUUAUUUAUUUUAAGUUGCCAUGCUAUGAUUUGUUUCCCCCAUUUCUUACUUUAUGUGAUAAAGUAUUUCCAAGAAUUUCAUCAUAAUGUGUGAGUGUGUGUUGUUAUAUUUCAUUUUGUCAUAAACAUUGUAUCUGUAAACUCAUUGUCCGAAAUAGUAUAUUGUAUUUAUUUAGAGAGGGCCACUACUAAAACCAAGCAGAGAUCAAGUAAUUUACAAUUUCUGUCAUACAAAUCCAUUUAAAUUCAUUAAAGUUUGGUGAUUUCAUACAAUGAAACUUAUUAUCUAAGUUAUUUAUUCUGACUAUAAUGCAGUUCUUUGAGCUCCAUUUUUAAAGUGAAUUUUAGUUAGUACUUUUUUAUGAAUGUUGUGAAAAUGACAAUAAGAUAUAAGGUGUUCAACAUAUAUAGUCCAUACUUUGAAUGCCAUCUUUGUUUUUGUUUUUGUUUUCAUGCAUGUCUUUGUCAUUUUUUUUCUUGGUGAUGUGUGAUUGUAUGGUGAGGUUUUGCUUUUAAAAGACUAGUUCAUAUGAACAUAUGCUGUAAUCCCUCUUUGGUUGCACUUUGUUGCAGGUCAAAAAUAUAUAUUUCAAUAGUUAAAUGGUUUUAGAAAAAGGCUGUACAUUGACCUAUAAUGGUUUACUUUUUUAAAAAUUGUUAUUUGGAUGGAGAGUUGUUUCAUUGGCACUCACACCACAUCUUCCUAUAUCUAUUAGAAAAUAUUAAUGUUUGGACAUAUAGCAUGUUAAAUGCAUAUAAGAUAACAUGCAAAAAAUAUAUUUAAUAUUUGAAGAGGAAAAAAAUGGGAGAGGGGGAUUAAAAUUCAAGAAAUUAUAGUGUAUGUUCAUAAGCAAACUCCUGAAACUAUACCUUAGAAUCCUGCUUGGUAUUAGUAGUGACAAAGUUAUUUCAACAGUUAGGACAAAGUUUUUAUUAGUGUUUUUAUUUAUUUAAACAUAGAUUGUCUAUUACAGAUUUUAACUUGUGACUACAUUAACAUUGAAUACUGAAUCUUUUCACUGUCCAUUCUAACUACACUACACAUGUGUCUUGUGACUUGGCACCUUAUUUCUACACCAAAUACUAACCAAAAAGCAAAAGUUAGAGACACAUAAAUUCCCUAAGCAUAAUAUAAUUGGUGUAAAAAGGGCUUUAUUUUGAAUGCAUUAAUGGUAAAGACCAUUUAAAUAAAUAACACAAAACCAAGAACAUUUAUAUUGGAAUACAAUAUUUAAAUCUACAAACAUGAAUAAUUAACGUUUUUGGAUGGACAGUGAAAAUAAACGAUAAACUAUGUGAAGAUUUGCUUAUUUCACAUUCAAUCUUGUGCAGCAGUAAUGCUUAUCAAAGACAAGGUAAAGGUGUAGCCACAUGCUUACAACUUGUACAUGUAACUUGAAUAAAGUUAACAUUAUUUUUAUGAUACCUCUAUGAUAAGUGCUUUCUGCAUUGCUGAACCAAGUUCAUAAUGUCAAUACUGUCAUUUUAUAAUAUCCAGAUUGUUUAUAUAGUUUUUCAUUCCUUUUUUCAUUAUUUAAAGGAUUAGAUAGGUUGUUAUCUUUUCAAUCGAAAUUCAAUUGUUAUGAAAAUUUCAGCAUUGCACAGGCAUAUAUAAUUUUAGUUUCAAAUUUAUAAAGCAAUAUUCUAAAUUGUAAGACAAAUUUUUCAGUGGACUAAAACUUAACUGGUUUACACAGCAAAUUGACAACAAAAAUGACUACCCAAACUUCUUCUGAAAAGAUUGGACGAAAAAGAUGAAUCCAAGAUGUUACCUGCGAAGGACAUGUAUAAAAGCUCCGUCCAAUUUUGUCAUCCCUAAAUAUGAGUCCUUUGGAAUGGAUUAAAAUGGCGAUUACCUAUAUUUCUUGGAAUUUGGAAUUUAAAUGCUCUUUAUUUAUGCAAAGCUCAUGUUGCUGUAUCUACUUGGAAGAGCUCAUGUUUAUUUUAACAUUUUUUGUUUAUUUUCGUAUAAUAUAUAUGUAUUUGUGUGUGCUUGCUAUAGAUUGUGGUUAUUGUAGUACAUAGAAGAUUGCAUAAAUUAUAUAUUAUACGUUGAUGAUUAGCUGCUAAAAAGUUCAUGAAUGCUUCUUUUCAUGCGGACUUGACUUAUUUGCAUGUGAUGUACAGAACAUGCAGAACGUUGAUCGCUUCCUUCAACGUCUAGCUGAUCUACUGUUAAAUAACUCGUCAUAUUAUUUACAGUUCCGCCAAACUCAGGAUACGACCCAUAUAGAUAAGGAAUAUAGGUAAACAGUUCCAUCGCCAUUUAGUAGCUAUAUAAUUGACUGUGUUGUAUAAUACAAGGACUACCGGAAGUGUGCAACUACCCAUUACCGUUUCGGCAGAAUAUUUCGCAUUAUCCAUUUUUUUCGAAAAAAGUGCGGACUAUCUGUUCCUGUUGUCGAUUUGAAUCACUGUGUAGUUGUUCGAUAGAAAUUGUGUGUCAGUCUUCUUCAAGAAAUCCUAUUUGUUACGCGCUAUGUGCUAUCUUUUUUAUGUGUGAUUUAUUAGAAUAGUCUUCGGAUGUCGAUUAUGCAAAUUACAUGCAUCACGAGAAAUUAAUGUCAGGUCAUUUUGUACUUUGUUCAUUCGUUCAAGUGUGUAUAUAGAUGAAAUGUUUGUGUUUUGUGAGUCCUACCUAUUGAAACGGUCAUUUGAUCUAAUGAGGCCCAGCUCAUAUGACCGUUUCAUCCAUUAUACUGUGGCAUUGAGACAUUGCUUCAUUGACCCCUAGGGGAGUUAUUUUGUAUAUAAAUCGCCAUUUACGUAGUAAUUGUAGAUAUUUAUUGAGGUGUUAGCAUUCAUUAUUACUAUUUAAGAAUUUAUUAAGCAUAUUUAUAAAUAUUGAUAAAAAAAGAAAAUAUUAAUGAAUCUCCUUAACUUUUAUUCAAUUGAAAAAUUGUCUUUAAAGAUAAAACGAUUAAUAUAUUAAAUUCUAGAUUUAAAACAUAAAAGUUAUAAUAUACACAGCUCUAAAAAUUACAUCACAAAGCAUUUCACUAGCAUGCCACAGUAUUUUAAACCAUUGAGCUAUGGUCAGUUGACUUUGCCAAAAUUAAAGUUCCUAGUGUCCAAAAUAAACAUAUCAAAUUCGGCAUUCAUGACAUUACAUUCAUAAAAGUUUGUUAUUGAACCUUUUUGUUUUACGAUUUGAAGAACCCACCCUAUUGUACCUCAAUUUUUGCCAUUUCAUCGGGCAGAUUAACUGUUUUAAUGUGAAAUAUUGUUGGUGUAUUGAGAAGUAUUUAUUUUUCCAAAUAUCUAUUUAUACAAUUGUUUCUAUGACAAACUUGGCAGUUCAAAUGAUAUCAAGCAGCAUUUAAUAAUUGUUGAUCUAAACACAAGAUUAUCUAAAACUUCCAUAUCUUAUGGUAGAUUAUGCAAGCUGCUUAACGAAAUAAUUUAUAACAGCAUUUUGUUGCAAAGGAGAAAAGACCAAAGUCAAUAAUAUGUUGUUGAUGACUUUUUAGUAUUGUUUAGUCUUCAAGCUGUAUUGUUGUGUAAAUGAUUUUAUCAGAUAGGUGUUGUGAAAAGCGAUUUGUUAGGUAGCGAAGUUUUCUGCUCGAUGAUUAGGCACAACAUUAACUGUUAUUGUGUUUGAGCAAAUUAUUUGUGUUAGCAACAUUUUUUGCUCGAUAAUAAAGCACAACGACGAUUAACUGCCAGGUUUUUAUACAUUUCCUAUAGAAAUAAAAUAUUUUGUUUGUAA